GAGCGAGAGAGAGCUUGCUUUCUCAAGCGAGUGGCGAACGGGUGAGUAACGCGUGAGGAACCUGCCUCAAAGAGGGGGACAACAGUUGGAAACGACUGCUAAUACCGCAUAAGCCCACGACCCGGCAUCGGGAAGAGGGAAAAGGAGCAAUCCGCUUUGAGAUGGCCUCGCGUCCGAUUAGCUAGUUGGUGAGGUAACGGCCCACCAAGGCGACGAUCGGUAGCCGGACUGAGAGGUUGAACGGCCACAUUGGGACUGAGACACGGCCCAGACUCCUACGGGAGGCAGCAGUGGGGAAUAUUGCACAAUGGGGGAAACCCUGAUGCAGCGACGCCGCGUGGAGGAAGAAGGUCUUCGGAUUGUAAACUCCUGUUGUUGAGGAAGAUAAUGACGGUACUCAACAAGGAAGUGACGGCUAACUACGUGCCAGCAGCCGCGGUAAAACGUAGGUCACAAGCGUUGUCCGGAAUUACUGGGUGUAAAGGGAGCGCAGGCGGGAAGACAAGUUGGAAGUGAAAUCCAUGGGCUCAACCCAUGAACUGCUUUCAAAACUGUUUUUCUUGAGUAGUGCAGAGGUAGGCGGAAUUCCCCGGUGUAGCGGUGGAAUGCGUAGAUAUCGGGAGGAACACCAGUAGCGAAGGCGGCCUACUGGGCACCAACUGACGCUGAGGCUCGAAAGUGUGGGUAGCAAACAGGAUUAGAUACCCUGGUAGUCCACACCGUAAACGAUGAUUACUAGGUGUUGGAGGA
rnacentral:rRNA from 1 species